UGCGAGGAACAGAUGUCCCGACUCCAGGGAGAGGGGGCGUAGCUGGGCCUUCUCCGGUCUGACCAGCAGAGGGCGUGAUAUAAACUCUCCGUCCAGCAGAGGGCGCCGGAGCGAUGACUGUCAUUUACUCUCUAUGUCCAGCAGAGGGCGCUGUUUGCUGGAGGAAUCCGAACGACCUAAUGACCAAUACCCGAAUGACUGUGCAGUAGAUUGUGAUCUUGCCACUAACGUGUUUGGGCAGCACCUGGCAAGGGAGCUGGUGGUGAAGGCCAUGAAAGAGUUUGUGGAGACCGACAACCCCAGCAAGCCUCUUGUGUUAUCUUUCCUUAGCUGGAGCGGCACUGAUAAAGCUUUGUGAGCUCCCUGCUGGUAAAACAUCUGUACAAAGAUGGAAACUGGAGCCCUUAUGGUCAUCAGUUCCCUCCUAUUCUACACUUGCCUCGUGCUCAGUGUUUGGAUGAGUACAAGAGCUAUUUCCUUGGCCAGAGCAGCUGAAAGCCAUCUCAGAAACCCAGGAGAAGCAAUGCCAAGAAAAACAGAGGAAGAAGGAAGAGGAGAAGCAGCGGAACACUGAGUGGGACGGGCAGAGGCUCCUGGCUGGACGUGCUGCAAUGACAUUGGAGCGGCAGGAGGAGGAGCUUAGCAGGGAGAUAAGGAAGAGGCUGGAUCAGUAUCGGCAGCAGCUGAGCAGAGAGCAGAAGGCACACCUGGCUUAUCAAUCCUGUGGCCGUGGCCAGGAGACUGAUUACAGCCGCUAGAACUAUCCUCACCAGGAGCUGCGGAACUGCGCUUCUUCCAGAUCAUAACAAAAUGUGUCUGAGUGAUAGGACAUAGCUCCAUCGUGGUGAAACGCAUUGGAUGUUAUCCGCUGGUUAGCUGUCGUCAGUUCAGAUCAAGUAUCUAACUUUUAUUCAGUGCACGUGCAAUAUUGUAUGAUUUUAGUGAUAUAUUUGUAAGCAGGAUCACACUGUGAGUUAACUAAAAAGGCAGAAAUUCCUGUUAUUGGAAAUAUU